UAGGUGGCCACUUUCCUUUCCAGGGUGUCCUAAGAGACCUCUCUGGGAUUAGGGUCUGCCUCCACUGGCCCAACACACACACCU